rnacentral:lncRNA from 1 species
AUGUAGGAGUGAGCGACGAACGGUUCGUUGAACGGAGUUGUUGCGAGUGCGCAACGAUCGUUCGUGACAUUCUCCCCCACUUAAACUGUCGACGCCCUCGUCGACGCUUGUUGGUAGUUGUUGAUGAUUUCUUCUUCAUGUCGCAGGGCGUCUUCAGGCUCCCAACUGGCUUCAGUUCGGGGAAGCUUUCGCCACUUCACCAAGUACUCUGUCUGCUCACCUCCGUUGGGUAGCUUUAUCUUGCGGUCCGCCAGAAUGGUUUCAACUCGCUUCUCGUAGGAGGCUGUGAUGAGAGGUAGCCGAGUUGGAACACUUCGGGAAGCAUCUUGCGGAUCCGAGUGGUAGGCUUUUAGGUUGCUAGCGUGUGAAGAACGUUGUGAAUUUUGAACCACGCCAGCAGCUGCAACUUGUGAGAGACGUUGCCUACCCUGCUGAUAAUUGGGAAGGGCCCUUCAUACUUGCGCACCAAUCCUUUGUGGACUUUGUUCCUAAAGAAUUGGAGUGAUGCCGGUUGGAGCUUUACCAACACCAAAUCGCCAACUUUGAACUCUUGCGGUCGCCUUCCCAAGUCUGCCCACUUCUUCAUCCUUUUUGUCGCCUUCUCCAAUUAAGCCCGCGCAAUAUCUGCAUUUCGAUGCCACUCCUUUGCGAAAUGAUAGGCUGAUGGACUACUCCCAGUAUACCCAAUUGCCAUGGUGUGCGGAGUCGACGGUUGUUGUCCUGUGAUGAUCUGGAAGGGGCUCUUGUUGGAUACAGAGCUCCG